rnacentral:rRNA from 1 species
GGAUUGCCCCAGUAACGGCGAGUGAAGCGGCAGGAGCUCAAAUUUGAAAUCUGGGGUCGCCGACCUCCGAGUUGUAAUUUGGAGAGGCAUCUUCGGGGUGGAGCGCCGGCCCCAUGUUCCUUGGAACAGGACGUCGCAGAGGGUGAGAAUCCCGUGCCAGGCCGGCCGCCUCCGCCCCAUCGGGGGGCCUUCGACGAGUCGAGUUGUUUGGGAAUGCAGCUCCAAGUGGGUGGUAAAUUUCAUCUAAGGCUAAAUACCGGCGGGAGACCGAUAGCGCACAAGUAGAGUGAUCGAAAGAUGAAAAGCACUUUGAAAAUAGAGUCAAAAAGUACGUGAAAUUGUUGAAAGGGAAGCGCUUGAGACCAGACCCAGACCCGGGCAAACACCGCGCCCCUCGGGGCCGUGCAAUUGCCCGCGGCUGGGCCAGCAUCAGUCGGCCCGGCGGGACAAAUGCGAGGGGAAUGUGUCUCCCCUCGGGGAGUGUUUAUUAGCCCCUCGCCCAAUGCCGCCCGAGCCGACUGUGGACCGCGCCUCGGCUAGGAUGCUGGCUUAAUGGCCUUCAGCGACCCGUCUUGAAACACGGACCAAGGAGUCUAACAUCUAUGCGAGUGUUUGGGCUUCAAACCCUUGCGCGGAAUGAAAGUGAGCGGAGGUGGGAACCCCCCCCGCGGGGCGCACCAUCGACCGAUCCUGAUGUCCUCGGAUGGAUUUGAGUAGGAGCAUAGCUGUUGGGACCCGAAAGAUGGUGAACUAUGCCUGAAUAGGGUGAAGCCAGAGGAAACUCUGGUGGAGGCUCGCAGCGGUUCUGACGUGCAAAUCGAUCGUCGAAUUUGGGUAUAGGGCGAAAGACUAAUCGA